rnacentral:lncRNA from 1 species
CGUCACCCCACCACAGCACCGGCCCCGCUGCUCCCCUCGGGGGGCAGAAAUAGGGGAGAGGGAGCAGAGGGAUCCCGCACAACCCAGGUGAUGACCUGAAAAAAUCAUGUCUGAGGUCCAGGGUACGGUCGAGUUUUCUGUGGAGCUACACAAAUUCCAUAAUGUGGACCUCUUCCAGAGAGGGUAUUACCAGAUAAGAGCUGGACUGAAGAUUCCAUCCAGGAUUCCCCACAGG